AAAGCGCGCGUAGGUGGUUUGUUAAGUUGGAUGUGAAAUCCCCGGGCUCAACCUGGGAACUGCAUUCAAAACUGACUGACUAGAGUAUGGUAGAGGGUGGUGGAAUUCCGCGUGUAGCAGUGAAAUGCGUAGAUAUGCGGAGGAACACCGAUGGCGAAGGCAAUCCCCUGGACCUGUACUGACGCUCAUGCACGAAAGCGUGGGGAGCAAACAGGAUUAGAUACCCGGGU
rnacentral:rRNA from 1 species